AUGGCCGGCGACCCGAUCCUUCGGGAUACCCACUACCGCCGGUACCUCGCCUUCUACUACUGCAACGCCACAGCACUCGCUGCGUCGCUUGUGGUCUCACUCAUCCUCAUCAUCCUGAAGAGGAAGGACCAUGUUUGGACAGUGGUGCUGCGGGUGGUGAUGGUUUUGGACCUGCUCGGCCUCAUGGGCGCCUACGGUGCCGGGAGCUGCCGGGAUGCGUUUACAACCAUCUACGCGGCGGUAACCUUCUUCCUUUUGGUAUUGAUCAUCAUCUCUGUUUUCUUGUACGUCUCGCUCAAUGGUGGUGGUGAGGAUAACUCCAACUCCAGAAACAAUUCCAGCUCGCUCUCUGACUCCAACUCCAAUUCCAUAUACGAUCGUAAAUCGAACCCUGAUCCCAACUCCAUCCCCAUCUCCAUUUCCAAAUCAAAUCCUGAAUCCAACUUGAACUUGGACACCAAGAAAGAAGGAGAAGAUCAAUGUGUUGAUGUUACUCGCAACCUUUGUCGUCACCAUCACGUACGUAGCUGGGCUGAACCCGCCCGGUGGGUUCUGGAGCAGCACCCAAGACGGACACCGUUUAAGCGACUCGGUGUUCAAUCUAACGAGAAGGUUGCACGUCUUUUGCGAGAAGAGGAGAUCAAAUACUACCAGAGAUCCAAAGCUGACUUUAUCUUGAUGGGUGAUAGUAAUACAAAAUACUUCCAAUUGAUCGACAAUAGGCGGCAUAGGAAAAAAUGUAUUUACAGUCUCCAACAAGAUGAGGGGCGGAUCGAAGGACAGGAGGAGCUCAAGAAGUAUAUCACCAAGUACUACAAAUCUUUGUUUGGAGCGUCAGUUGAAGGGAACUUCACCCUUGACGAGACCCGAACGGAUGAUAUUCCACAAGUCACGGCAGAAGAAAAUGAUAUCCUAACGGCACCAUUCUUGAAAGAGGAGGUGAGAGCGUCGGUGUUCCAAAUGGAACAUAACAAAGCUCCGGGGCUAGAUGGUUUCCCCGCAGAAUUCUAUCAGAAUUUUUGGGAUAUCAUCAAGACCGACCUUUUGGAUUUGUUCAAUUGUCUUCAUGCCGACCAACUAGACCUAUUUAGACUUAAUUUUGGCGAGAUUGUCUUGUUGCCCAAGAUUAAGGAGGCCGAACGGAUCCAACAGUUCAGACCCAUAUGCCUCCUUAAUGCUAGCUUCAAGAUUUUCACCAAAGUGGCCACAAAUAGGUUAAACUCGGUAGCUGAUCAUGUUGUUCGGCCAUCUCAAACGGCGUUCAUGCAAGAAAGGAAUAUACUCGAUGGCGUAGUAAUUUUGCAUGAGACUGUUCACGAGAUGCACCGGAAAAACAUGAGUGGCGUAGUAUUCAAAAUUGACUUUGAAAAAGCCUAUGACAAGGUCAAAUGGUCUUUCCUCCAACAAGCCCUAAGAAUGAAAGGUUUCUCCGAUAAAUGGCGUCAGUGGAUCCAAAAUUUUAUAACUAGAGGUAGUGUGGCCAUCAAAGUCAAUGAUGAUGUAGGCCAUUACUUUCAGACAAAAAAAGGACUACGACAGGGUGACUCCAUGUCUCCAAUGUUAUUUAACAUUGUUGCUGACAUGUUGGCUAUUCUGAUUGAGCGUGCUAAGCAGGACGACCAGAUAGAAGGAGUAGUGCCACAUCUUGUGGAUGGUGGCCUCUCUAUUCUGCAAUACGCCGAUGACACAAUUCUUUUUAUGGAACAUGACCUAGACAAGGCUCGAAACCUAAAACUCUUGCUCUCAGCGUUUGAGAAAAUGUCGGGUCUCAAAAUUAACUUCCAUAAAAGUGAACUUUUCUGCUUUGGAGAAGCCGUUGAGGCGGCUGCCGAUUAUGCUGACCUCUUUGGUUGCGCACAUGGCCAAUUCCCGAUUAAAUAUUUGGGAAUACCGAUCCACUACCGGCGUCUCACCAUUGCAGAGUGGAAGCAUGUAGAGGAGCGUCUAGAGAAACUAUUGAGCAGUUGGAAAGGCAAGCUGCUCUCAGUUGGAGGACGGCUGGUUUUGAUUAACUUCGUUCUCACAAAUACGGUUCUCUAUAUGCUUUCUUUCUUCCAACUCCCCAAAGGGGUCCUGCAAAGAUUGGAUUAUUUUAGAUCCAGAAUUUUUUGGCAAGGAGAUGGAGAAAAGAAAAAAUAUCGGUUGACCAAAUGGAGCAUGGUUUGUAGGCCAAAAGACCAAGGCGGCCUUGGAAUUCAUGACCUACAGGUCAAGAAUGAGGCCUUGCUCAGUAAAUGGUUGUUCAAACUUCUUACUGAGGAUGAUGUUUGGCAAACCAUGUUGCGCAACAAGUAUCUAGGCCAAAAGGCAGUGUCCCAGGCAUAUUGGAAACCUGGUGACUCGCACUUCUGGGCUGGCCUAAUGGCGGCAAAGAAACGUCUCUUUCGCUUUGGGUCUUUCGCGGUAAAAGACGGGUCGGAGAUUCGAUUCUGGGAAGACAUCUGGCUAGGCAAUGCCAGUCUCAGAGAACAAUAUCCAGCCUUAUAUAGCAUUGCUCGUGAUAAGAACAACACUAUUGCGCACGUGCUCAGUUCAUCCCCGCCGAACAUUUCGUUUAAGCAGGAUUUGAUUGGCCCCAGACUUAUGUCAUGGCAUAAUCUUUUGUCCCGGUUGGAUUCGAUUAACCUGACACAAGGUCGGGAUGUGUUUCGCUGGAACCUUACUACAUCAGGGUCAUUUACAGUAGACUCUAUGUACCGUGCGCUCACACAUUCUGAGGUACCAGUGAGUAAUAACAAAAAAAAUUAG
rnacentral:rRNA from 1 species